rnacentral:lncRNA from 1 species
CUCUUCUAAAGCAUAUAAAAGUCUGAUAAGAGUCAAUAUACAUGAGAUACAAUAGUUUUUCCAACAUUUGAAUUCUGAAUUAUUUUAUCAUGUAGACAUAACAUCAUAGUAGUUCUUUAAAACAUAGUAUCAAUAGGACUUACCAUAACCAUUUUAAAAACAAUAUUCAUGGACUUCAAGAAUGAAGAAGGGCUUGCAGGCUCAAGUUCAUGGUUGCCUACUCUCUUUCUAGAUGGACAGUGAGACAUCAUUGACACAGCUGAGACUGUCUUUCAGAAGUUAUUACAUUAAGAAAACAUUGAAGAUGAAUAUUUUCUCAGGAUUUCUCUCGCUGCCUUUAGGAUCCUCCCCAUAUGGCCCUGCAAUCCCACUCUUGGGCAUCUAUCCGGACAAAACUCUACUUAAAAGAGACACAUGCACCCGCAUGUUCACUGCAGCCCUAUUCACAACAGCCAGGACAUGGAAACAACCCAAAUGUCUAUCGCCAGAUGAUUGGAUUCGGAAGAAGUGGAAUAUAUA